GUUUCUGUAGUGUAGUGGUUAUCACAUUCGCCUAACACUCAAAAGGUCCCCGGCCCAAAACUGGGCAGAAACA
rnacentral:tRNA from 1 species